GUCUAUGGCGGUGCUGCGCGGGACACCUGAUGGUGUGCUGGAUUCCUUUCGCUCCAGUCGGCCAACCCGCGUACCGCCGCCACCC
rnacentral:antisense_RNA from 17 species